AAAGAAACCAACAGGGAUUGCCCUAGUAACGGCGAGUGAAGCGGCAACAGCUCAAAUUUGAAAUCUGGCCCUCGGGUCCGAGUUGUAAUUUGUAGAGGAUGCUUUUGGUGAGGUGCCUUCCGAGUUCCCUGGAACGGGACGCCAUAGAGGGUGAGAGCCCCGUCUGGUUGGAUACCGAGCCUCUGUAAAGCUCCUUCGACGAGUCGAGUAGUUUGGGAAUGCUGCUCUAAAUGGGAGGUAUAUGUCUUCUAAAGCUAAAUAUUGGCCAGAGACCGAUAGCGCACAAGUAGAGUGAUCGAAAGAUGAAAAGCACUUUGAAAAGAGAGUUAAAAAGUACGUGAAAUUGUUGAAAGGGAAGCGCUUAUGACCAGACUUGGGCUUGGUUGAUCAUCCUGGGUUCUCCCUGGUGCACUCUUCCAGUUCAGGCCAGCAUCAGUUCGCUGCGGGGGAUAAAAGCUUUGGGAAUGUGGCUCCCUCGGGAGUGUUAUAGCCCAUUGCAUAAUACCCUGCUCCGGACUGAGGUUCGCGCAUCUGCAAGGAUGCUGGCGUAAUGGUCAUCAGCGACCCGUCUUGAAACACGGACCAAGGAGUCGUCUUCGUAUGCGAGUGUUCGGGUGUUAAACCCCUACGCGUAAUGAAAGUGAACGCAGGUGAGAGCUUCGGCGCAUCAUCGACCGAUCCUGAUGUUCUCGGAUGGAUUUGAGUAAGAGCAUACGGGGCCGGACCCGAAAGAAGGUGAACUAUGCCUGUAUAGGGUGAAGCCAGAGGAAACUCUGGUGGAGGCUCGCAGCGGUUCUGACGUGCAAAUCGAUCGUCAAAUAUGGGCAUGGGGCGAAAGACUAAUCGAACCUUCUAGUAGCUGGUUUCCGCCGAAGUUUCCCUCAGGA
rnacentral:rRNA from 1 species